GACGGAGGGGGCUAGCGUUGUUCGGAAUUACUGGGCGUAAAGCGCGUGUAGGCGGUUGUCCAAGUUGGAUGUGAAAGCCUUGAGCUCAACUCAAGAAAUGCAUUCAGGACUGGAUGACUAGAGGACCGGAGAGGAUAGUGGAAUUCCCAGUGUAGUGGUGAAAUACGUAGAGAUUGGGAAGAACACCAGUGGCGAAGGCGGCUAUCUGGACGGUUUCUGACGCUAAGACGCGAAAGCGUGGGGAGCAAACAGG
rnacentral:rRNA from 1 species